rnacentral:rRNA from 1 species
UUUUUUCAGGUUGACCUCGGAUCAGGUAGGGAUACCCGCUGAACUUAA